UAGAGACCGGCGCACGGGUGCGUAACGCGUAUGCAAUCUACCUUUUACAGAGGGAUAGCCCAGAGAAAUUUGGAUUAAUACCUCAUAGUAUAGCAGUUUCGCAUGAAACCACUAUUAAAGUCACAACGGUAAAAGAUGAGCAUGCGUCCCAUUAGCUAGUUGGUAAGGUAACGGCUUACCAAGGCUACGAUGGGUAGGGGUCCUGAGAGGGAGAUCCCCCACACUGGUACUGAGACACGGACCAGACUCCUACGG
rnacentral:rRNA from 1 species